rnacentral:rRNA from 1 species
UAUUAACUCUUUCUUCGUGCCUAAUACAUGCAAGUCGAGCGAACGGACGAGAAGCUUGCUUCUCUGAUGUUAGCGGCGGACGGGUGAGUAACACGUGGAUAACCUACCUAUAAGACUGGGAUAACUUCGGGAAACCGGAGCUAAUACCGGAUAAUAUUUUGAACCGCAUGGUUCAAUAGUGAAAGACGGUCUUGCUGUCACUUAUAGAUGGAUCCGCGCUGCAUUAGCUAGUUGGUAAGGUAACGGCUUACCAAGGCAACGAUGCAUAGCCGACCUGAGAGGGUGAUCGGCCACACUGGAACUGAGACACGGUCCAGACUCCUACGGGAGGCAGCAGUAGGGAAUCUUCCGCAAUGGGCGAAAGCCUGACGGAGCAACGCCGCGUGAGUGAUGAAGGUCUUCGGAUCGUAAAACUCUGUUAUUAGGGAAGAACAAAUGUGUAAGUAACUAUGCACGUCUUGACGGUACCUAAUCAGAAAGCCACGGCUAACUACGUG